UACGUAGGUGGCAAGCGUUGUCCGGAUUUACUGGGCGUAAAGGAUGCGUAGGCGGACAUUUAAGUCAGAUGUUAAAUACCCGAGCUUAACUUGGGUGCUGCAUUUGAAACUGGGUGUCUAGAGUGCAGGAGAGGUAAGUGGAAUUCCUAGUGUAGCGGUGAAAUGCGUAGAGAUUAGGAAGAACACCAGUGGCGAAGGCGACUUACUGGACUGUAACUGACGCUGAGGCAUGAAAGCGUGGGGAGCAAACAGG
rnacentral:rRNA from 1 species